AGUUCCACAUGGCUGGGGAGGCCUCACAAUCAUGGCAGAAGGUGAAAGGCAUAUCUCACAUGGCGGCAGACAAGAAGAGAGCUUGUGCGGGGAAACUCUUCUUUGUAAAACGGAAUUCAAGAUGAGAUUUGGGUGGGGACACAGCCAAACCAUAUCAGGGUACUAAAGACAACAUGGAAGAAUCCUUCCCUUCUUCUUGGGUGCUGUCAAGGCCACAGCUGGGGUCAUGCCUCCCCCUAGAUAGGGGCCAGAAAACAAAGCGUGCAUGGAGACAGCCUCCAGCAGUCUCCCAGUGCUUCGCCCUCACCCUCACCCUACCAUGUUCACUUGCUAUUCCCAAAACAUGACCCAGAUUGUCCUACCCCUGACCAUACUACACCUGAUGUCCAGAGUCCUCUCUGCACCCCUGCUCCCAUCCCCAGUGAAUUCCAUCUUGCCCAUCUUUCAAGGUCCA
rnacentral:lncRNA from 1 species